GCACUGCUGACGAGUCCCAAACAGGAUGAAACAACUGUCCAGUGC
rfam:Echinostoma caproni strain Egypt genome assembly, scaffold: ECPE_scaffold0003571